rnacentral:rRNA from 1 species
ACGGAGGUGGCGAGCGUUGUUCGGAAUUAUUGGGCGUAAAGGGCGCGUAGGCGGUCUGGUAAGUCCGGUGUGAAAUCCCUCGGCUCAACUGGGGAAGUACAUUGGAAACUGUCAGGCUGGAGUGCGGGAGAGGGAAGGGGAAUUCCCGGUGGAAGGGUGAAAUGUGCAGAGAUGGGGAGGAACACCGGUGGCGAAGGCGCCUACCUGGACCGCUACUGACGCUGAGGCGCGAAAGCCAGGGGAGCAAACAG